CCCAUACCAUGUAUUGGACAAUUAGAUUAGCACAUUGGACGGACACUUUUAGUUUUUGUUUGUUUAGAAAAUGAUUUUUCCUUGGAGACUACUAUUCCUACUGUCACUUUUUUGAGAAGUAGUUGGAAUAGAUCAACACUAUACAGGGGCAGUUUUCCCCACCUCCACCCUUUCCCCUUCCUUCUUCCAUUCUUCUCACCACCUUUUACCCUUCCCUCCAAACAUCUCUCUCCCUCUUCCCUCCGAACAUCUUUCUUCUCUCUCCCUUUCCCUUUCCCUUUCAUUUCUCUCUUCCUUUCAAAACACCCUAUUACCCUUCCCUUGAGCCAAGCCCAACUCCCUCCUCCCCUUCCUCUAAGAUAAACUCCGUUCUCCUUGUCUCUCUUCCCGCUUCCUUCUUCAAAUUCUUCAUCAUUACUCUAAAAGCUCGUACGAAGUGUAUUGCAUAUGUCUCAAAAUGCAUAGGCAGAGAGGCAUUGACUUGUGACUACAUUAACACAUCAUGAUGCAGAGUUGGCUCGGUGACAAUAGCAAAGCCUCAGGGACAGCUAGAGGCACGGGCUGAGUCAGAGGCAUAGCCACAAAUACCACCUACUGACCACAUCUUCAAACCCUAUUUGGAGGAGGCCUUAUGGGUUUGACUUUGUUUUGGUCCUAUAAGGACAACAUAGGUGGGCAUGUAUGGAUUGGUCAGCCUAGAGUAGAGCUGAAGUUGGUCAACCAUGGUGGAAAUGUUAUCCAUUACCCUACCCAACUGACAAUUAAGGGGUACGUGGAUAGGUUAAGGCUUAAGAGCUUGUAUAAUGCAUGGUACACGUCUACAAAUAAAGGCAUAAUCAAUGCCUUUAUCAAGAGAUGACAUAAUGAGACCUCCUCCUUCCACCUUCCAAUUGGAGAGAUGAUCAUCACCUUUGAUGAUGUCUCAUGUCAUUUACAUAUGUCUAUCUCAAGCCAUUUCUUUAAUCACACAGGCAUGAGCUACACCAAGAAAGCAAAUCAGAGAUUUGUUGAGGUCAGAACUUGGUAUUAUGAUGAAUCAGGAGGUAGAUGGCACAACAUCAUCGGGCAAUAGGGCGGCUUUGAGUUGGUUAUAAGGAUUGUAUCACACCUAUGUUGAUAGUGAGUCGUAUGUCUGGGCUGCUAGAGUGUUUGUUGCAUUUGCUUAGAAAUACUGUAUUUGUUGAAAAGAGCUCGAUACAUGUACACAUCUGCUACCUACCAUAUCUCAAUGAUCUGGAUAGCUACAUCGAGUACACUUGGGGGGGGGGGGGGGGUAGUUGUGCUAGUUUUUCUUUAUGACUAGCUGUCAUAUGUGUGCAAGUAUGACAACAAUCAGAAUGGAGGUUAUAUAAUGCUGCUCAUGCAUAGGUGUUUACGCGUCUGCCAACCAUUCCUUGUAGAGAGAACAUGUUGGAUUAUGAGCGCCUACACCACAAGCAACUGCUUGUGGCUAAGUGGUUGUCGUUGAUGGAUACCAACAAGGUUGUUGCGACCAGGGAGUUGUUGGAUCAAUUGCAUAUGAUUGAUGUUGCCUGGUCCGAUAUGCAUCACACAGAGACAUCAAACCUUUCAAGGACCAGGCAUACUACUUUGGCUACAUUAGAGUUAGGACAUACAUCUCAUUGUAUCUAUCAGAGAGGCUUUUGAGGCAGUUUGGGUAUGUGUAGAGGAUUCCCUUGGAACCACCCGAGCAUCCAACUGAAUAUGAGAAGUGUUGUAAGGCAUGGGAAAAGUGGGAACAACAGUGGUGGUGGUGGGCGAGAUUAUUUGACAUGGGCUCCAUGGGCCUACACUAUAUACUACUUACCCUCUGUUAUGAGCAUUCCCAUCCAUACUUGAUUCCACCAUAGGAAUGAGAGCUACUACAUAGUCCUGUAUAACAUCCUAAAAUUUUAAUAUAAUUAUUGUUAUUAGUUUUAGUA